AGCAUUUAUGUGCUUAUGUGCAAAUGAGCACCUGUGGAAUUUUUAGUUAAAAAAAAAAAAAACUUCUGAAAAUUCCAUCAGCAUCCACUUGUAUGUUUAGAAAUCAAAACAUAAAGGCAAGCAGUCUCCUUUGAGAGAUGCUGCCUUAAGUUGGAAGAAACCUGACAAGUCACAAGCCUCUUCACUGGCCAUUGCUUAGUUGCUGAUGCACCGAGGCUGCUCAGGUCCCCGAGUGACUGGAUAGUUAUUCCUACUUGUUUUUUCCCUUCAGCAACACCUAAUGUUCUGGUCCACAGCACCCAGGCCCUCAGCAUGGUCUUUGCAAGAGUGAGUUCAGAAUAUUUCAUGGCCAACUCAGAUAUCAAAGAGGAGAGAAUACAGUGGGGGAUUUCAGGGAAUCCCAAGAGGCAGGCAGAGGAGGGGAGGCAGCCCAAAGCAGUGUGGGGACUAAAACACAAAGAUGGAGGAGUAUUAACUACCUGUAUUUCCAGACACAUGGAUUUCAUACCCUUACUGCAGAAGCAUACGCUAUGUUAUGUUAUGAUAAUGAUAUAAUAAUCCUUAUAGCUACAUUUUUAACAAUUUAGGUAGCAGGCUUUGGAAAUCUUGAGUCUACAGCUGUUUAAAGAAAAGAUCCCAGCUGAUCAGUGCCAUGAGGUAAAUCUUAUACCGGGACUGGAGUUCAAGCUCAUUGAAGGGGAGAUGGCAGAAGGCAGCAGAAUUACUCAUCCUUACUGGACCAGUGUUUGAGCUCAGCCACCACUGAAGCUGGCAGUGGUGCAGGAAGCCAUCCAUCCACCCACCUCUGGCUCCUCUUCCCUGCCCUGCGCUGCUCUCUCUUGCAUGAAGGCAUGAUGCAGCAACAAGGCUGGCGUGCAUUUUAAAACUAUCCCGGCAAAAAGCAAGGGGUGAUUGUAACCUGGAACAGUUCUGUGUGAUGACUGCAUGAAGAAUAAUGCUGACAGUGUUGGAAUGAGGGGGUUGUAUAGCAGCUGUGCUCCUGGAAAGCUACGGCCUCCAUAACAGAAGAGAGAGAGGAAGCUCCAGCUGUUGAACUGGGAACAGAAGCAAUAGCACCUGAUAAUAGAUAAUAACCCACAUCACAAACAGUUACCAAAAGUUCAUCCACUGAAAGUUUUUGCAAGGUAGCACUAUACUCAGCUCGCUGCCCUACUCCAUCCCAGCAUGGUGAGCCCCCCACCCCAUUCCCAGCAGGGAUG